rnacentral:rRNA from 1 species
UGCAGUCGAGCGGUAACAGGGGUAGCUUGCUACCCGCUGACGAGCGGCGGACGGGUGAGUAAUGCAUGGGUAUCUGCCCGGUAGUGGGGGAUAACUCGGGGAAACCCGAGCUAAUACCGCAUACGUCCUACGGGAGAAAGCAGGGGAUCUUCGGACCUUGCGCUAUCGGAUGAGCCCAUGUCGGAUUAGCUUGUUGGUGAGGUAACGGCUCACCAAGGCCGCGAUCCGUAGCUGGUCUGAGAGGAUGAUCAGCCACACCGGGACUGAGACACGGCCCGGACUCCUACGGGAGGCAGCAGUGGGGAAUAUUGGACAAUGGGGGAAACCCUGAUCCAGCCAUGCCGCGUGUGUGAAGAAGGCCUUCGGGUUGUAAAGCACUUUCAGUGGGGAAGAAGGCAUGGUGGUUAAUAACCAUCAUGAAGGACAUCACCCACAGAAGAAGCACCGGCUAACUCCGUGCCAGCAGCCGCGGUAAUACGGAGGGUGCAAGCGUUAAUCGGAAUUACUGGGCGUAAAGGGCGCGUAGGCGGCUUGCCAAGCCGGAUGUGAAAGCCCCGGGCUCAACCCGGGAACGGCAUUCGGAACUGGCAGGCUAGAGUGCAGGAGAGGAAGGUGGAAUUCCCGGUGUAGCGGUGAAAUGCGUAGAGAUCGGGAGGAAUACCAGUGGCGAAGGCGGCCUUCUGGACUGACACUGACGCUGAGGCGCGAAAGCGUGGGUAGCAAACAGGAUUAGAUACCCUGGUAGUCCACGCCGUAAACGAUGUCGACCAGCCGUUGGACCCCUUGAGGGUUUGGGUGGGCGCAGUUAACGCAAUAAGUCGACCGCCUGGGGAGUACGGCCGCAAGGCUAAACUCAAUGAAUUGACGGGGCCGCACAGCGGUGGAGCAUGGUGGUUUAUUCGAUGCACGCGAGACUUACUGCUCUGACA